rnacentral:rRNA from 1 species
AGUGAACGCUGGCGGUAGGCCUAACACAUGCAAGUCGAACGGCAGCACAGUAAGAGCUUGCUCUUACGGGUGGCGAGUGGCGGACGGGUGAGGAAUACAUCGGAAUCUACUUUUUCGUGGGGGAUAACGUAGGGAAACUUACGCUAAUACCGCAUACGACCUACGGGUGAAAGCAGGGGAUCUUCGGACCUUGCGCGAUUGAAUGAGCCGAUGUCGGAUUAGCUAGCUGGCGGGGUAAAGGCCCACCAAGGCGACGAUCCGUAGCUGGUCUGAGAGGAUGAUCAGCCACACUGGAACUGAGACACGGUCCAGACUCCUACGGGAGGCAGCAGUGGGGAAUAUUGGACAAUGGGCGCAAGCCUGAUCCAGCCAUACCGCGUGGGUGAAGAAGGCCUUCGGGUUGUAAAGCCCUUUAGUUGGGAAAGAAAAGCAGCAGGUUAAUACCCCGCUGUUCUGACGGUACCCAAAGAAUAAGCACCGGCUAACUUCGUG